GCGCGCGGCGGCGGUCCGGUGGCCGGGAGCCUGGCGUUAAGGAUUCUUUCCCCUCCUAACAGGUUCCUGCGUUAGCCGCCGUGAGGUGGCCUCCAAGUUGGAGCCAGGAAUAAAGCUGUGGUGGUGGAAGAAGCCCUCGCCUGAGCCUCUCAGGUCCGUCAGCGCCUUCCAAGUCGGAGGCUGGGACUAGGAGGAGUCAGCGGAGGUGCUGCGCGCUUCUCCCGGUUCGUCCUGCGGUCCCGGUCUUGAGGAGAGUUGGUUCAGACGUCAGACACCGGCAUCUGCAGUCUCCAUGGUGCCCACAACAGCCAGAGCCAGACCAGGGUGAGGCCCAGAUCCUGAAACUCCAUUCAUGUCUCUCAUGCACACAAGAGACUCAGGCAAAGUUACAGAGAGGCAGAGGCAGAGAGAGAGAAGUCUUCCAUCUACUGGUUCACUCCCCAACUGGCUGUGGUGGCCAGAGCUGGGCUGAUCUGAAGCCAGGAGCCAGGAGCUUAUUUCAGGUAUCUCAAGUGGGUGCAGGGGCCCAGGGACCUGUGCCAUCUUCUACUGCUUUCCCAGGCCAUAGCAGAGAGCUGGUCAGAAGUUGAGCAGCCGGGACUAGAACCAUUGCCCAUGUGGGAUGCUGGCACUGCAGUCAGCAGCUUUCCCCCUAUACCACAGUGUGGCCCCCUGCAAUGUAUUUUUAAUUACUGCUUUAAUCUCUGUCAUUUCUUUUUCCUGAUGAUUUUCUUAUUUAGUGUUUUUCCUAAUUU